rnacentral:lncRNA from 1 species
AAUGUGUACGUCCCGCGUCCCGCUCUUACCUAACCUAGUAUACAGUUUUGCAGCUGGGUGAGGCAAAAAUUGCGGCAUGGUGCACAUCAUUUUAGAUGACAGCAGCCAUCAUGACCAUCAUGAUGAGCAAUCCUAAGAAUGAAGAAAAAAUGGCCAGGUGGAGCCGGGACAAUUCAGGACUUGAGGCAGAUGCUCGAAGCCUAUGAUAGCGUGAAGUAUGGGGUUACAACUUCAUCGGUGGCCACUAGCCUGGAGAGCCCGCUUAUGUUUCGGGGCAUCCUCUUCCUUACCCAUGCCGGCUUCUAUGGAGUCAGUGGCUUCCUCCCCGUCCUCCUCACCCAUGCCGGCUUCUGCGGAGUCAAUGGCUCCGUCGGGUUUGGCACCCACCACCAGCAUCAAGUUGAACCUGUCGGAAUAAUGGCGGCGCCAACUCCAUUCAUGGUCGGCUUGCAGGUCACUAUAACCGGGUCUAUCGCCGUCCAUCUACAUGGGGUGCAUCCAACCUCUUACGGUCGAGGGGUUCUUCAUUCCGCUUUUUGUCGGGAUCAAUCCUGGAACCUUACAGGAGUACUAUGCCGCGCCUUAGCAUAAUAGCUGCGUCUGGAGCCGUAUUCAUUAUGUGUUCACUACCGACGACUCUCAACAUCACCUAUAUCGACACCGGCUUCUCUCAACAUCAACUUUUAAGCUUUUAUAUAAGAGUUCCGUGGUAGCGUGCACCUUAGCAAUCGGGCAAAUGAACAUUUCUUUGCGAUUUGCCACGAAGGACCUAAAGAAGGUGUGUUGUUGCCCAUUCAGGAAGAUAGUUGAAUUUCCAGCAUGGUGUAACAUGGGUAUUGCUUGCACCUGCAAGCGGCCUAGGACAGCCC